rnacentral:lncRNA from 1 species
UGGCUGCCAUCUUUAAGCGAGGUUUUGUCCCGGAUGUUGUUACCUACACAACUCUUCUCAGGGGACUCAUUUCCCAGGACAAGUUUCUUGAGGCUGAGCUUCUCUUUAAGAACCUUCUCAAGCACAAUCAAGUUGAGCCCAAUGCAGUUAUCUUUAACACCAUUAUUAAUGGCCAAUGCAAAACAGGCAACACUUCCCAGGCUAUGAUGUUGCUUAGAUACAUGGAGAAGAAAGGUUGUAUGCCGGAUGUAGUAAAUUACAACACUGUUAUUGAUAGUUUGUCCAAAGACAGAUUAGUUGAUGACGCUUUGGGUCUUCUUGCCGAAAUGAGUGACAAAAGCAUUCCACCAAGUGUUGUAUCCUAUAACUCAUUAAUUCAUGGUAUGUGCAACCUCAAUCGAUGGGAAGAUAUAACACUAUUGUUAAAAGAUAUGGACAGACACAAAAUUUCUCCAAAUAACCGUACCUAUAAUAUAUUGGUUGAUGCACAUGCCAGAGAUGGAAAGGUCAAAGAUGCUGAAUAUUUGAUAGAGUUAAUGAUUCAAAGAGGCCAACAUCCGGACGUAGUCACAUAUAGUACGCUAAUGGAUGGGUACAGCUUGCGGGGAGAAUUGGAUAAAGCGUUAGGUGUGCUUGAAAUAAUGAGAAAUGAGGGGAUUUUGCCAGGAGCUCAUACCUAUAAUAUAUUAAUCAAUGGUUAUUGUAAGAAAAUGAAAGUAGACACAGCGAUACAUCUCUUAGAAGAAAUGCCAAGGGCAGGUUUAACACCUACAGUUGAAACGUACAAUACUAUUUUGGAUGGGUUAUUUCGUACGCGUAGGCUUGAUGAAGCACAUAAGUUUUAUAAGAAGAUGCUAAAACAAGGUGUCAAACUAAAUAUAGUGACAAGCCGGAUCUUGUUGUAUGGACUUUGCUGGAAUGGACUUCUUGUUGAAGCAAUGUUCAUGUUUCACAAGAUGGAGUCAUGUGGCUUAGUUCCUGACAUAUGCAUUUAUAAUAUUCUGAUUAAUGGGUUAUUCAGGGACAACAAGGUUGACAAGGCAAGAAACCUUUAUCAUAAUCUUCUUUUGAAGGGUUUACAGCCUACUGUCAUAACCUACAACAUUAUGAUACAAGGAUAUUGUCAUCAAGGGUUGCUGGAAGAAGCACAUAAAACACUUUUGGAAAUGGAAGAAAACAAUUGCUUGCCUAAUGGAGUUACCUACAACACUCUUAUCCGCGGCUGCUUUAAGAAUAAGAUGUAUGAUGGAGGUUGUGUGCUUAUAGAUGAGAUGGUUGCUCAUGGUUUUAAAGCAGAUGCCUCUACCGCCUCCAUGCUAUUCGAUUUGCUGCAAUUAAAAGAGCAGGACCCUGCGCUCCUUGCUUUGCAGAAGAAGUUCAUGCCGUGACUACAUCAAUGAGCGAGUUUAUUAAGGUACAAAAUACUUUUAAAUUUCCAGAACUCUGUAAUAAUUUGCUAUGAUGUAUAAUGUCAAUGGCAAUGGUGAUAUUGGAGCUAAUAAUAUGUAAUUUUGUUGAAUAUCAAAUUUCGAGAUGGUGGUCAUGUUGUAUCUGCAUCUUCUUAUAAAAUGAGAAUUAUGAAAAUGCAUGUGUUUUCUUUGACAAAAUGCAGGAAGCUGGUUUCUCGGGAGAUGCAUACCACCUGUAUAUUACAGGACCUGCUAUAAAUAGGACACUGCUAUGCUUGCUCUGUAAAAGUUUUUGUCAUACAUACUGGAAUGGCACAGUGUGCAAACUUAUUAUUUACUUGCACUCUUGUAAGUUUCUUAUCUAUUCUCGUAAUUAAUUUGGAUUGUUCUUUACUGUAAGCUUAGUUUAGAGUUGCAUAAAGCAGUGUUCAGUGCCGCAAAAGUAAAGUACAAGAACCAUUACAAUUAUUUCUUGAUAUAUUAGUUCUUAAUAUAUGUAUUUUCCGUCGUCUCUAUGUAGUUUUGAACGUUCUUCUAAAGAAAGGGAAUCCAUCAGAACUACUAUUCAUAUAUUAUUAAACUUGUUUUCUCUGCAUACUUAAAUAUGAUGAUUCAGUCUGCAACAUUAUUAUAUACUUGCAGUCUCUUGUCAAUUUGGUAUCUUUUGUCGUAGUCCACUAGGACUUUUCAUUACUGUAAGUUUAAUUUAAAUUUGCAUAAAGUAGUGUUAAGUUCAGCAGACUUGAAGUACAAUCGUUACUGUCAUCACUUGAUAUUUUAGCUAUUAAUAUUAUGUAUUCUACUCAUUGACAUUAUGUAUAUUUUAACCGUUUUCUAAAAAAAGGUAAAUUAUCCCAACAACUAUUCAUUAAUUAUUAAACUUGUUUUAUAUUUCAUUCGAGCUCUUUUCUCCACUGAAUUUGAACCCUGAUCCCAAACCCCCCCUAUAUUCCUCCUUCAUUGACACCUCAUCCGCUACCUGAACAGUUACUUUAUAGGAAAUAAGAUCAGUUAUAAUAAGCUCCGUGUUGCUAUUCUUGUGUUAGACAAUGUGCUCCAAAUGAGACCCGGUAGUCCGGUACCAUGGUUAUUAACCUCAAUUAACUGUAAUCCACCAUUGUUAAAAUGAAACAAUAGUAGCUGUCUUUCUUUACUGUUGUGCUUUUACCGUUCCAGUUAAAGUAUAUGCCAUUAAUACUGUCAUCAAUUCUUCUUGUUACUUGAAUAGAGUUGAUUAUGCUUUUUCAUUGCUUUGUGGUAUUGUGAAACUUUUUUUUUUGCAAAUUACUGUUACCCACAUCUCUCACUGUUUAGCUCCAAACACAAACCCCUUGAGGUUGAGUACUUAUUUGGGAAGCUCGUCAUAAAUUGAACAUGGUGCUUUUACAUUGUCCAAAUAUAUGGACAGGAAAGGUUGUAAACCCAAUAUAGUAACGUAUGGAGUUACAAGUUACUAUAUGUGGACUUGUGACUCAAUCUCUUAAGCAGAAUCUCUUUUGGGGUUAGCUAAGGCUUUUUAGAGCUAAAAGUUAAUGAGGUGAGAAAUCUUUAAAAUGAUCUUUUAAUGGCUUCUGGUCUAGUGUCAUAUAUUAUUCUACAACGUUAUGAUCUUUUUGUUGUAUUUGCAUAGAGUGGUCUCUAAAAUGUAACUUCCUACUAUUGCUCAAUCGGUUCAGGGUAUUUACAUAGUGGCCGUACUUUUUUAUCAAUCAAAUUAGACCCCUGUUUCUUGCCUCAACUUUGAUCAAAUAUUUGCCACCCUGGUCAGAAUCAAAAAGUGUUUCAAUAUAGUCACAUACAAUUCACUCGUGGAUGGAUACUGCUUGUGUGAAGAAGUUGAUAUAGCUUUAGCAGUGGUAGAAACCAUAAAGAGUAAAAAAUCACUAUACUUACAACACAUUUAUUCGUGGCUGCUUUGAGAAUAAGAAAUAUAAUGAAGAAUGUGUGGUUAUAGACAAGAUAGGUUCUUGUGGUUUCUCAGUGGGUGCCCCUACUACAUUCAUGCUGCUGCACUUACUUGAAUUACUGAUAGUCCUUGCUGUCAUGUUAUUGCAUUCACUUUCUCAACCCUCCACUUACCCUAACCCUAAUUACAUACACACUCAUCACACGGAACUUCAACAAUUACUUAACGAGAAAUGUAAGCUUGGUUUUGAUAAGCUGGACGAUGCUCUUGUUGUGUUUGAUAAAAUGCUCCGUAUGAAGCCUCUUCCUACUUUCAUCCACUUUACUCAACUCUUGUCCGCCCUUGUCAAGAUGAAACAUUACUCUGCGGCUGUCUCCGUCUUUUCAAAGAUGUGCACUUUUAACAUUGCUGUCGAUAUAAUUACUUAUAGUAGUGUCAUCAACUGUUGUUGCCAUUCGAAACGCGUUGAUUAUGGCUUUUCGCUGUUGGCUGCCAUCUUUAAGCGUGGUUUUGUCCCUACUACCGUUACAUACACAACUCUUGUUGGGGGACUCAUUUCCCAGGACAAGUUUCUUGAGGCUGAGCUUCUCUUUAAGAACCUUCUCAAGCACAAUCAAGUUGAGCCUGAUGCAACUAUCUUUAACACCAUUAUUAAUGGCCAGUGCAAAACAGGCAACACUUCCCAGGCUAUGAUGUUGCUUAGAUACAUGGAGAAGAA